UCGGGAAUUUUGCGCAAUGGACGAAAGUCUGACGCAGCAACGCCGCGUGAGGGAUGAAGGCCUUCGGGUUGUAAACCUCUUUUCUCAGGGACGAUAAUGACGGUACCUGAGGAAUAAGCCACGGCUAACUACGUGCCAGCAGCCGCGGUAAUACGUAGGUGGCGAGCGUUGUCCGGAUUUACUGGGCGUAAAGAGCGCGCAGGCGGUCGUGCAAGUCGCGUGUGAAAGCCCCCGGCUCAACUGGGGAGGGUCACGCGAUACUGCUCGACUCGAAGGCAGGAGAGGGAAGUGGAAUUCCCGGUGUAGUGGUGAAAUGCGUAGAUAUCGGGAGGAACACCAGUGGCGAAGGCGACUUCCUGGCCUGUUCUUGACGCUGAGGCGCGAAAGCUAGGGUAGCAAACGGGAUUAGAUACCCGGUAGUCCUAGCCGUAAACGAUGGACACUAGGUGU
rnacentral:rRNA from 1 species